GGAUUCAACCUGUUGUUCUGUUGUCAAGGAAUCAUUUUAUAAUUUAAGUAUUAUUCUUACCUUGAACAGCUUUUAAAUAUGCAAAUAUUCAUUCAACUUGACUACCUGCUGGGUUACCCUAGACUGUAAAAUUUUCAAUAUAGCUGUAGAAUUUCAAGUGCAAUGAAUAUGUCCUCAUGAUUAUAAUAGAAACAGGAGAGCUCAGAUGGAGAACCUGCAUUGUUGGAGCUGACCCAGAAGAAUAAACUGUCCCCUGGUUAAUGGGUGUGCUGACUGCUCCUUCCUGGUGGGGAACUGGGGUGGGUUAGGACAGAGAACCACAGAGCUGUCCACGAUCCACGUCUGUUCUUGGUGAAGGCUUUGAUGGGGGUCAGGCAGCGCUCCCUCAGGAAGCCUCCUCCCCCUGUAUCAAUGGCAAAUCUCUGAGACCCUUCUCCAGGGAUGGAAAGUGUUCCAGUCACUUGUCUGAAGGUACAAGCCUAGUGAGGUAGUCACCUUAACAAUCCAACGAAAACUCGGUGCAUUUCAAAUGUGCGCAGGGUUAAAUUUGUAUUUGAUAUCGCAUUACCAGCAUAAAAACAUCACCUACCAACUGUUUUGAUCACUAGUAUAAAUUAUUUAAAAUUCCCAUUUCCCUCCAAACCUCGCUUUUAGAAUUGCUCGUUUUUUUUCUAUCAGUAAUACCACGAUGGAAUUUUUUCCUGUUUUUACCCAGAAAGCAUUUUACAUAACUCACAAACGCACCCAGAUGUAAAAAGUGUUAACAGUUAAGAGCUCACAAAACACACGCGUUAUUUUUAUCAGAUUUUGAACACAGGCCUCACAUUAUGAAAAUACACCUCCGUGUUGUUCUCUCGACCAGCAAGAUCAUCCUUGACCUAUCUCCUCAGGUCAUUGUCCCAUGGAUGACCCCAGCUAUCACUUCAUGGAGGAAGAGUCCAAACUUUCUGCGACAUUCAGAAGCAUUUUUUUUUUCUCAAGCAUAUUGUGCUGGAGAGAAAUCAACACAAUGGGUUUGGAGACGAGACUUCAGCCCCAAGCUCACCCGAGGAACAUUUGCAGAAGCCUGAUUCAGAGCCUCAAUUUUGGCAACCCCGUCGUGGUGAAUGUAAUGUUUUUCAUAUUAAGCAGCUCAUUUAAGAAAAUAUGAUUUAAUAACAUAAUCUUUGAGAAAAGCACUUGGUAAAAACACUAAUGAACAUUCAAUAAACAUAAGACCGUAGAAGACUUUCUCUUACAUUGGCCGCACCACAAGUCCCCGUCAGCUCAAGGAUGUCCCCAAACAUGGAGGGUCAUUUCAGCCUUACCUGAAACCAGGCCAGGGAGACCUUGCCUGGCCCAAUACUAAUGAAGGCCUCCCUGUGCCCUCUUUUGCUCUUGCCUGUCCACCAUCCACACCCCCUCCUUCUGAUCAUGGACACCGAUUUUCCAUGGAGAACCGUCUCUUUCCUACUUCUUCUCCAUCUGAUUGGAUGGGGCUUGCCCAGUGUGAUAGACAGAUGGCCAACCAGAGUACGGCAUUCCUCUGGACACUGUGACUGGUUCAGGGAUGAAUCUAAGAUAUCAGGCAAAUAAAAACUUGAUUCUUGGAUUUCCUCGGGAGGGAGUCUCUUUUCUCUAGAAGAGGAAGUAGGGAAGUUAGGAAGUGAGGCUGGCGUGCUAGCAGCCACCUUAUCACCACAAAGCCCGCAUUAUUGAAAUGGACUAUGAACUAACUGUUGACACAGAGGGAAGCAGGAAAUGAGAAAGGACACAUCCAGAAUUGCGUCAUUUGGACUUCUGGAUUCGUCCAUUCCUGAAGUUUGACUCACGCACUUUUCGGUGAUCUAGCCCUAUUGACUUCUUUUUUACUUUAGACUUUGAAGUUGUUUUUCCCACUUGCAAUAAAAAGAGUCCCGACUAAAAUCCAUACUAUUCCUAUUUGCGAAGGAGAAACUAUGACUUGUGCCUGAAAGACAGACACAGUGCUGUCGUGCGUGGCCUUCAGCCCACCCCGCAGCUACUCUGCCUAACAGAGCUGAGUCUGGACCUUCAAAUCCAG
rnacentral:lncRNA from 1 species